rnacentral:rRNA from 1 species
UACGAAGGGGGCAAGCGUUGUUCGGAAUUACUGGGCGUAAAGGGCGCGCAGGCGGCCGAUCAAGUCAGAUGUGAAAGCCCCGGGCUCAACCUGGGAAUAGCAUUUGGGACUGUUUGGCUAGAGAUCGGGAGAGGAGAGUGGAAUUCCCAGUGUAGAGGUGAAAUUCGUAGAUAUUGGGAAGAACACCGGUGGCGAAGGCGGCUCACUGGCCCGGUACUGACGCUGAGGUGCGAAAGCGUGGGGAGCAAACAGG